AACGAACGCUGGCGGCAUGCCUAACACAUGCAAGUCGAACGGCAGCGCGGGGCAACCUGGCGGCGAGUGGCGAACGGGUGAGUAAUAUAUCGGAACAUACCCUAGAGUGGGGGAUAACGUAGCGAAAGUUACGCUAAUACCGCAUACGCACUAAGGUGGAAAGUGGGGGAUUCGCAAGAACCUCAUGCUCAUGGAGUGGCCGAUAUCUGAUUAGCUAGUUGGUGAGGUAAAGGCUCACCAAGGCGACGAUCAGUAGCUGGUUUGAGAGAACGACCAGCCACACUGGAACUGAGACACGGUCCAGACUCCUACGGGAGGCAGCAGUGGGAAUUUUGGACAAUGGGGGCAACCCUGAUCCAGCAAUGCCGCGU
rnacentral:rRNA from 1 species